ACGAACGCUGGCGGCGUGCCUAAUACAUGCAAGUAGAACGCUGAAGAGAGGAGCUUGCUCUUCUUGGAUGAGUUGCGAACGGGUGAGUAACGCGUAGGUAACCUGCCUUGUAGCGGGGGAUAACUAUUGGAAACGAUAGCUAAUACCGCAUAACAAUGGAUGACACAUGUCAUUUAUUUGAAAGGGGCAAUUGCUCCACUACAAGAUGGACCUGCGUUGUAUUAGCUAGUAGGUGAGGUAACGGCUCACCUAGGCGACGAUACAUAGCCGACCUGAGAGGGUGAUCGGCCACACUGGGACUGAGAAACGGCCCAGACUCCUACGGGAGGCAGCAGUAGGGAAUCUUCGGCAAUGGGGGCAACCCUGACCGAGCAACGCCGCGUGAGUGAAGAAGGUUUUCGGAUCGUAAAGCUCUGUUGUAAGUCAAGAACGAGUGUGAGAGUGGAAAGUUCACACUGUGACGGUAGCUUACCAGAAAGGGACGGCUAACUACGUG
rnacentral:rRNA from 1 species